GAAGCUAAAUUUGAUGUUUCAUUUAAUCGAAUAUAUCCAGUAUGUUACCAUUUCAAUACAAAAUAUGAUUGAGAUAUUUCACGUUGUUUUCUAUGUACCAAGACUUUGAAGUGUAGCCUUUUGUCCUCACAGGACAUCUCCACUCAGAAGAGGCACAAUUUGAGUGCUCAGCAGACACACAAGGCUGUGGCUACCACGCUGGGCUGUGUGGGGCUACAGAGCCAGCCUUAUGUUCAAGAGGGAGAGGGAACCUUGCUAUGUGACACCCUACUCUAAUCCUGUUUGCUCAUCCUGCUAAAACCCUCUGCUGGGGCUUCUUGGAGAAGGCCUCCUCAUUUUCUCCACAGCACGGCUGGAGGAAUAAUGGCCCCUCCUCCCUUCUUGGUCAUUAUCUCCACCUCCUGACUUCUUCAGUAGUGAUUUCAUCAGCGAUGACAACUGGGAGAGAAUGGAGAAACUGAGACAUGCUUGGAGGACUGACCUGCAACAGGGUCACGCGGCGGCUGAGCAGGAACAGAAGGCAAAUUUCCUGGUCCCUGGGCCAGUUUUCCACCCAAUCUACCCCGUCUAAAUGAAACGGCAGAAGCUUAGUUUUGAUAAGCAGUUCCAUGAAAACAUGUCCUGUGCCAGAUUCUCUCUGGUGCCCGAGACACUCCCCGAUGGAGGGUUAGGGCUUGGAGUCCUUUAACUCUUUCGGCACAGUGGAGAAAGGUUUAGGAAAUAGCAGAACAAACGCAAAGGCCUUGAGAAGGCCCUGGCGAGACUCAGCCCAGGACUCUUCUCUCUGUCCUAUCUUCAGCCCUAAAGCAAAGGGCCGAGGAUGUAAGAAGGCUUUCACCUGGGUCCUUCGAAACAUGCCUGGAGCCUUUAUUAACUCCUCUACUUCAGAAAUCAGCUGCAAACGUCCUCUCUCCCAGUGGGCAGACCGGCUGCACUAUAUGAAAACGACACAUGUGAAAUGGAGGGUGGGUAUGUGAAGCUCAGGAUGAUUCAUAUCUUCACAAAGGGAUUCGCUGCCCGUCUGUUUAAAUGUAAUACUCUUUCAGUGCAUCAAGAUACCUGAUUCCAUGAUUAAUUUUUGUGUGUGGCACAGAAGCAAGGAGAAGUUAGCUAAUUUAAGCUGAUGUGCAUUGAGUCACUGGAAACUGGACAGGAGCAAAGAUCACAGAACUUUCGAGGCAGCAGAUUCAUUUGGGCUUCAGGAAACGCGUUGCAUGAGCUGUUUCAGGUGCUGGGGAAAGGCUCUGCAUUAGAACCCACACCUUCCGUCUCCCGGGCCAGGUCUCUUUGUAGGCCACCACGGAGAGAGAAAAGCAUCUUGAGAAUCCUAAUGUGAGCCAAUGAAGAAAUGAGUGUCAUAUUUAUAUAUCUGCUAUAACUCACUUUCUAAUGAACAAAGUCGCUUACUUUGAAAAGUGAUUUCUCUCUUGUGUAUGGCUCGGGAGGAGUCUAAGGUGGGCCUCGCUACUCCAGUGCCUCCGGAGCCCAGGUAAGCUCACCUCAGGCAGCCUGCAGAGGCUCUCCCCUUCUAGAAGGCCCAGCAAGCGCCCCGUUUCCCACAGACGGUUCCCACCUGGGGAUGUUGAACCAGUCUCACCCGAUCUGCUUACACAGAGGAGCUGCACAUCGAACAUGCUAAAAACUGCGUUAUGUUUUUUAAAAACCCAACAAACUCUAAAAUGUUAACUGCGGGCUGAAACACUGACUGGACUAAACAAAGCCUGACAAUGGGCCAGAUCUGGUCAGCUAGGUCUCCCAGCUCAGCAAUCUGGCCUAAAGGAGCACCAGCUUCACAACAAUAACUGACACUAAUAGAACUGGGUUUACGGAGAUAAAGAGGAAGCGGAUCCUUCUCCCAGAAGCAACCAGUGUAACAGAAGGCACCAUAUGGGCAUGCGCCAUACCCCUAAUCCUCACGCCAGCGGUGAAACAGGUUACAUGGCUCCUGCUGGGUGGCAGAAGACGGAGGGGAGACGCACUGCUGCGCCUACAUAGCUCAGCUCCUAGGCGGCCUGGAGAUCCUGUCCACUUCAAAGAUUUACUGCUGAAGGCUGAAGUCACUUUGUUUUGAAAAAUUAAGAAAAUACACACACACACCAGCUCCAUCUGGAGACUCCACUUCAACAGUAGUGCCAAAACAGUACUGCAUUCCUUAAAGAGCUGAAUAAAGGAUCGAGUUAGACUGGCCUUCUCAACACCUCACGAAAAGCCCCCUUGGGUCUCAUUUUGCUGGGAUGACUAUUUAUAUGACAGAAGCUGAUUUUUAGAGAAUCCCAGCUGUCCUGAAAUAUUGAUGAGCAGGAGUAAAGUGGGCUAACUUCAAACACAAAUCCCGGUCCCUACACCUCGCCGCCAAGUUCAACAGACUGCACAGCAACAGGCUGUUGUGCUUGGAUCAAAAGGAUCUGAGAGUCUUGAAGCAGGCUUGAAAUACAACUGAUUUUAUGAUGAGUAAAAUUAAUCCAAUGGAAUUCUAUUGAAACUGCAUGGAGGAAAGAGAAUUUGACCCAGUUUAGUCCAGACUCACAGAAUUUGGUCCAAUUCUUUCAUUUACUACCUUAUACCAACUUAGCCCAAAAUAUAUUCCCAGCAAAAGACCCAGUUACAUGUAUUUAAAAAGCAUGAAGGAAAAAUAAAACACCAAACCAAUAAGCCUAAACAUAGGUGUACUGUAGGAGUCACUGUUUCCAGAUGCCCAUAACCAAACACACUCAUCUGCAAUUUAAGCUCUGUGAACAUUCAUUUACUUAUUUAUCUUAAGGACAAAUAGAUAACAUUUUUAUUAUCUCAUCAGAGGCCACAGGAAGCUUCAAAUCUGUAAUCUUUUAAUAAUAUCUUUGCAGUCCAAGCCUUAAGACCAACUUUGUUAGGACUAAUAAAAACCUGAAUUUAGAGAAAAUGGGACCAUCUUCAAACACAAAUUUCGUAUUACCCAUAGAAGGAUGAAUGCUCUUUAUAAAGAGACUUUGCAUAGACAUGCCUCAUGGCUAACUGGCUGAUUUUUAGAGCUUACUGAUUUUAACUCACUCUUGGCAAAGGCAAAUAUUAGGAAGUUGUUAGGAAGGGAUAAGUACGGGUGAAAUGAGAACAUAGAUCAAAAUGAAAUAAAACACUUAUAAAAUAAUUUGACUAAAUGUCCACUGUGGGCCAGGCACUACCCAUACUUGGGUGUGAACUUGUCUAAUUCUCAGAAUAACGUUGUAAAGGAGGCAUUAUUAUUUCUCUGUCAAGAAAGGAUCACAGAGGCUGGGUGUGGUGGCUCAUGCCUGUAAUCCCAAAACUUUCGGAGGCUGAGGUGGGAGGAUUGCUUGAGCCCAGGAGUUUGAGACCAGCCUGGGCAACACAGUCGGACUCCGUCUUUACAAAAAAAAAUUUAAAAUAGCCGGGCAUGUUAGCAUGCACCUGUGGUCCCAGCUACUCUGGAAGCUGAGGUGGGAGGAUCACUCGAGCCUGGGAGGUCAAGGCUGUAGUGAGCAGAGAUCACGCCACUGCACUCCAGCCUGGGCAACAGAGUGAGACCUUGCCAAAGAGAGGAGAGGAGAGGAGAGAGGAGAAGGUUAAGAAACUGGUAUAACUAGGGGAGUAACUGGGGAGCUGAAUUCUGAACAAGUUAUUUAACACCAAACCUCAAACAGGACUUAAUCACUCAACUUAAAGCACUCUGAUAUCCCUUCCUUUGGGAGAUCUUGCUCCUGAGGUUCCAAGGGGUGCAGGUGCAAGUCUUAAUGGGCUCUGAUAUUUUAAUCAUCUAUUUACUUGGGCAUGUCCCACAAAAUUAUACAUCCCUUGAGGGAAGUAUGGAAGUAUGGUGCUUCGUUGACCACUGUAUCCCUAAUGCCUGACUCAAGUAUCAGACAAACACUGAAGUCAGGAUCCACACGUCAAAAACAAUCCAAACGGAGGAGCACGAUUCUCUUACUGUUUGCAAUAUAGAAUCUGAAUAAAAUUAGUGAAUCAAAAUAAUAAAAUGCACACUGAAUAAAUUUAACCUUUCCUUGUUCCUUAGGAGAAGCCAUGAUGUUUUACAUAGGUAGUGAUAACAUUGCUACAAUAAAUACUUGGCUAUUUUAAGAGGUGGUAAUUUUAUUACUACUGAAAAUACAAGGUAGAGAGAAAUUUGAAAACAUUCAGUAGGUAUAAGCUAUCUGACAAGGAAGCUUACUCAUUCACAUUAAUAAGCUUCAAAUACACAUACUAAAAGGCCACGAGGCUCUUUGUACUUAGUGACAGAAACGACAUUGAGAUGUGAAGGUUACUCUGGGUGACUAUGAAGCCCUGUCCCUUGCCCCUGGGUCUAUGCAAGCCCUGGAUUUUGUGAUAACUCAGUAGGUUGUGACACAAGAUGAACAAGCCUAAAAAAACCCCAAACCAUGAACAUGUCUCAACUUCACUGAAGGCCUUAGUUAAGGCCCUAACAGCAGUAAAAAAAAUUAGGAAAUUAAAUCUGUUGUAAUGAAAGUAAUACUUGUAUGUUAUAGGUGGGCUAUUUAUUUUUGUCCAUUUAAAAAGAUUUCUGAGUAUAAUAAUAUGGGACAGAGACCUGAAAAGUCAGUUUGAAAAUCUUGACCAAUCUGACCAACAUGGUGAAACCCCAUCUCUACUGAAAAUAUAAAAACUGGCUGGGUGCGGUGGCGGGCACCUGUAAUCCCAGCUACUCAGGAGGCUGAGGCAGGAGAAUCACUUGAACCUGGGAGGUGGAGGUGGCAGUGAGCCAAGAUCACGCCACUGCACUCCAGCCUGGGUGACAGAGCAAGACUCCAUCUCAAAAAAAAAAAAAAAAAAAAAAAAAAAAGAAAA